rnacentral:rRNA from 1 species
CCUACGGGUGGCAGCAGUGGGGAAUCUUCCGCAAUGGGCGCAAGCCUGACGGAGCAACGCCGCGUGAAUGAAGAAGGUCUUCGGAUCGUAAAGUUCUGUUCUUCGGGAAGAAGUCUUAGGUUGGGAAUAAUGACUUAAGGUGACGGUACCUAUGGAGAAAGCUCCGGCUAACUACGUGCCAGCAGCCGCGGUAAUACGGAGGGAGCGAGCGUUGUCCGGAAUUACUGGGCGGAAAGGGCGCGUAGGCGGGAACUUAAGUUAGAUGUGAAAACUCCGGGCUUAACCUUGAGACUGCAUUUAAAACUGGUCAACUGGAGUGUGUGAGAGGAUAGUGGAAUUCCAGGUGUAGGAGUGAAAUCCGUAGAUAUCUGGAGGAACAUCAGUGGCGAAGGCGACUAUCCGGCACAUAACUGACGCUGAGGAGCGAAAGCGUGGGUAGCAAACAGGAUUAGAUACCCUUGUAGUC